AGGGUGUAAACGCUGCAGACUUGGUGUUGGGAACCCUUCGGGGGUGCUCAGUGCCGGAGAGAAGUUGUUAAGUCUGCUACUUGGGAGUACGUCCGCAAGGAUGAAACUUAAAGGAAUUGGCGGGGGAGGCACCGCAACGGGAGGAGCGUGCGGUUUAAUUGGAUUCAACGCCGAAAAACUCACCAGCAGCGACUGUUACAUGAAAGUCGAGUUGAAGACUCUGCUAGAUUUUCAGAGAGGAGGUGCAUGGCGUCAGUGACU
rnacentral:rRNA from 1 species